rnacentral:rRNA from 1 species
CGUACACUCCUGCGGGAGGCAGCAGUGGGGAAUAUUACACAAUGGGCGCAAGCCUGAUGCAGCGACGCCGCGUGGGGGAUGAAGGCCUUCGGGUUGUAAACUCCUUUCGCUAGGGACGAAGCUUUUUUGUGACGGUACCUAGAUAAGAAGCACCGGCUAACUACGUGCCAGCAGCCGCGGUAAUACGUAGGGUGCGAGCGUUGUCCGGAAUUACUGGGCGUAAAGGGCUCGUAGGUGGUUUGUCGCGUCGUCUGUGAAAUUCUGGGGCUUAACUCCGGGCGUGCAGGCGAUACGGGCAUAACUUGAGUGCUGUAGGGGUAACUGGAAUUCCUGGUGUAGCGGUGAAAUGCGCAGAUAUCAGGAGGAACACCGAUGGCGAAGGCAGGUUACUGGGCAGUUACUGACGCUGAGGAGCGAAAGCAUGGGUAGCGAACAGGAUUAGAAACCCCGGUAGUCCCAUGA